GACGAACGCUGGCGGCGUGCCUAAUACAUGCAAGUAGGACGCAGUUGCGAACGGGUGAGUAACGCGUAGGGAACUGCCUAUUAGAGGGGGAUAACUAUUUGAGACGAUAGCUAAUACCGCAUACUAGUAGAUGGACCUGCGUUGGAUUAGCUAGUAGGUAGGGUAAUGGCCUACCUAGGGGACGAUACAUAGCCGAACUGGGUGGGGGAUCGGCCAACAUGGGACUGAGAACAGGCCCAGAAUCCUAAGGGAGGCAGCAGUAGGGAAACUUCGGGAAUGGGGGGAAACUUGACCGAGCAACGCCGCGUGAGGGAAGAAGGUUUUCGGAUCGUAAAGCUCUGUUGUUAAGGGAGCGGUACUUAACCAGAAAGGGACGGCUAACUACGUGCCAGCAGCCGCGGUAAUUC
rnacentral:rRNA from 1 species